AUCCAUCUGACGAGUCUCAAAUAAGACGAAACGCGCAUCCUGGAU
rnacentral:hammerhead_ribozyme from 1 species